GCUUCAAACCCCUUGAGCAAAAAACUUCAAAAAUAGCUCAUUUUGUGAUCUUCUCAAUGACUCAUUAAUUAUUUUUCAACACAUUUAAAAGCUAACCCAAAUAAGAUAAUUUUCUAAAAAAAAUGUAUUUUCAAGAAUCUAGUGUGUGUAAAAUAUAUAUUUGGGUAUGCCAUGGCUUGGUAUCUAUUUCCCCCCCCCCCCAAACUAUGUGUAAAAUGUAAAUCUUUGGUAAAAUAUAUAAAUUUCAACAUGUUUAUAUCAUCACAAAUGACCAUCCUGCAUUAAAGUGUCAACAUUUUAUCAGCCUGUUCAUUUAUCAAUAAGAUUAAAAUAUUAUUAUUUUUAAAAAUUCAGGGGCUAGAUAAAGGCAUCUUCUUGAUGAUUAGUUUUUGUAAAGUGCAAAAUGAUAACAAGAUAAUAUACUAUACUGACAUGCUGAGUAGGAUAACUAAAGAGCAUUGGACAUAAAAGUAUGUCUUUUACAAUUUUUUCACAACAAAUUUAUAACCAAAUAGGUAUAUAAACCUGUAAGAACUCUUCUUCUAGAGUCACCAAAUUGUUUAAAUUUUGAUCAAAAAUGAGCCAUCA
rnacentral:lncRNA from 1 species